ensembl:lncRNA
CUUCUGCUGAAUUCUUGUGUGCUGCACUGAGUUAGAAGUCUUACCUCAAAACUGACUCCAACUUUGCAAAGAAGUCUGCAGGAAUUUCUACCUAGCCGACCGCCGUCAUUUAUUUGAGCAGCUCAGUACAUAAUUAAGAAGCCCUGGAGCCUGGGACAGCCUUUUAUCUUGAAAAGUGGCUCUUCCAGGUUUUACUAGGUCAUCAGGUACCAUCCUUCUUCAGACUCAAACACUCACCCUCUAAUGAAUCUGGAGCAUGCUCUGCCUAUUUCUGGUUUUGGUCACCUCUUCGUGUAUAUUCCUGCUCCUGCUUUUUUGACUCAGCCAAAAAUAAGUGAAACCCAUGACUCAGGUUUCUCCUCCAUCAGUGAGCUCAUGAAUUCUUCCCAUGUCCUGUUCCACCACUGUGGGUUCUUUAUACAGUUCAGACACUUCUGAAAACAUCAUGAUGCAUCCUACACCCUAAGGUGGGUUUGUCCAUCAGUUUGCUGGUUCUGACCUUUCCUUAUCCGCACAGAAAGGAGGGUGACUAGCAAUAGGAUGAGAGGGAAUGACUUGAAGUUGAGCCAGGGGUGGUUCAGGAUGGAUAUUAGGAAAAAUUUAUUCUCAGAAAGAGUGGUCAUGCAGUGGCACGGACUGCCUGGGGAAGUGGUGGAGUCACCAUCCCUGGAGGUGUUCAGGAACCGUGGAGAUGUGGCGCUGAGUGACACGGUCAGUGGCCAACAUUGGUGAUAGGAGGAUGAUUGGAUUGGAUGAUCUUAGAGAUCUUUUCCAAUCUUAACAAUUCUAUUAUUCUUUAAUUCCCUGUGUGUCCUCUUCCAGAUCUCCUUUAACCACUGCAAUUAUUUUUGUGACAUAGCCACAGGCUGAGUGGCACCAAACCAUGACCCAGAGCUGAACAUCUCCAGAGCCAUCAGCAACAUCUGGAGCCAUGCAGCCUCACUGCUGGCUGCCCUUCCCAAUUCCGUAAAUCAUUCCCUAACAGGAUGACAGGGAUUACGUCAGUUUAAUGAUGCUCUCAUCAUUAGCAAGAUCCAAUUAACAGUGAAGUCUAAAGAAUCUUCAAAUGUAAGCUUGCUAAUUUAAAUGCAGAUAAUUCAGGUACCAGUUGAGUGCUUAAACCAAGACUGGUAGUUGGACUAGAUGAUCUUGGUGUUUUUUUCCAACCUUAAUGACUAUAUGAUUCUGUAAUUUAAUGAUUUCAAAGUCUGUGUUGAUAACAUAUACAAAGUCUGGUCAAAUCUCAUGAACUGCAAAGGGUUGGAUCCUUCAGGGUGGAUGUGAGAAAAUCAACACAGAUUUGUCUGCAACGGAAAGACCUCCAGUUAAGGAACAGACAGAUUCUCACGGCCAUUUAACAGAUUACCAUGCAAGAAGAAGGAAAAUAAAAACAACAGAGACAGAGAGGCACCAAGCACAGCUUUAAAACUUAUCAUCUUUUGUAUGGCAUUUUUUUUUUCUCUUAUGCAUGUGACUGGGCUAUUUUUUCCAACCAAUUCCAGCAUCUUGAAAGAGCUCCGUGUCACAAGGCAGUGGUCCUGGAGCCCAGGCUGUCAGCUGAACUCUGGAAGUUAAUGGGCUUGCGUUGGCGGAAAGCAUUCCUGGAGAAAACAUCUUGAUAAAAGGAAAAAAAAAUGCCCAGGGAGUGACAAAUGUCUGUGGUGAGGCCAGAGGAAGAGGAAGAGAGGGAGAAAGAACAGUGGAAAGGAAGUAGAAAUGGGAGGAAAAGAAGGGCACAUAAAGUAUAUAUGUAUUUUAUAUGUACAUAUAUAUGUCUAAUAGAAAGCAGGCAAUAAAAACAGGUACCCAGGCAUGAGGGAUGCAGAAGCAGCUGUGGUUUUAGACAGAUUUAUUGCAGAAUGGAGUUGGGCAGCUUGAAACUUUCAGGAGAAAAAAGAGAGAAUAAGUUGAUCUGAUGAAAUAAUUAUGAGCAGGAGAAUGUGAUGGAGAAGGGAAGAGAAGGCUUUACAGCUGGCAGACAAAUGAAAAGGCUGAGCAGAUCCUCUGGAAACUGGUGGAGAUGUUAGCUUCUGUAUUUGAGCUCUUCAUAUGUCUUCAAGGCCCAAGUGAUCUACCCAUAUGGGCACACGUCUGCCACCAAAAUGCUCUGGGCCUUAACAGCUGUACCAGACAGUGCACAGAUUCCACCAGUGGGUAAGAUGAAGCCCUUUUGUCUCUAUGCUAAGCCCAUCUGCUUUCCAGUGGAAAUGGCACACACUCACCCCUCUCUCGGUAGACCUCUUACAGAAUCAUAGAAUUGUUUGAGUUGGAAGAGACCCUGAAAGGCCAUCUGGUCCAACUCUCUGCAAUGAACAGGGAUGCUCACUGCUGCAUCAGGUGCUGAGAGCCCCAUCCAGCCUGACCUUGGGUGUCUCCAGGGAUGGGGAACCACCGUCUCUCUGGCAAACCUGUGCCAGUGCUUCCUCAAAGGGCAUUUGAGAUGAAACAUCACUGUAGGAUAUGGUCAUCAUUUGGCUCAUGGAGCACCAUCAGAGCCACUGUUGAGCUCUGAAGCACAGAAUAGGGGAUGGUCCCUAUUAGUCACAUCAAAACGAGCUUGACCUUGAUGUAGGAGUGUGAUUUGGUGCCUAAAUGCAAUCUGCCAACACUUUUGGAAGGCCCCAGAGUGUUCAAGAUAGGGGAACUGGCAGCUUUGGCAUAGGAGGCCCAGCUGGAGGCCAGAUGGGAGAUCUGGGCCACCUCAGUGGGCACCUGAGGGUGGAUUAUGCAUGACCCUUCCUCAUACACAGGCAUAUAUAUCAUAGGCACCUAUGGCUAGACGGCAAGUCAGCCAGCUGAAUCCCCACAUCUCCUGACCCCACCAAGAGCUCAGAAAUUAACUUCCCUCAGUGGUUUUGCUGACCUUGAACAGUCAAAAACCAGGGGGCAGUCCUCAGUCCCACUCCACCUCCUGCAAAAAACAGAGGCUGGGAUAUUAAAUACAACCCUGGCUUCUCACUGCCACAGUAGUGUCAAACUCCAGGCAGAAUCAUGGGUGACGGUAGGGCAAAGCCACAGAAUCUUACCCCAGUGCUGAACUAAAGAAGGAACCUCGGAGAGACAGAAACCUCCUUUUCUCCUUCCAGAGAAAGUCACUCUCAUUUCGUUUUCAUUGACUUCAGUCAGUGCUUUGCUGGUCCUUUGCCAGCUCAGGAGUCUCCUGGUUGUAUUUAUUCUGUGCACAGGUCUGCAGAAAGCGUUUUCAGACUUUUGGGGUACCAGCUGGGUUCUCCCCAGAAGUGAAGAUCUCUCAUUUUCUCUAGAGGUGCAUGGAUUUUUGCCCACUUGGAAAGCUUCUUGUUGGUUGGAGCAGCAGUAAAUAAGGCUUUACUGACAACACCAGCCCUGUAAGCGGUGAUGGAUCGUCACCAUGAGAGUGUAACUUAUCAGAGGAAAAAGCUACUAUUUCACAGUGAAAUGCUUCAAAGAGUGACCAUCUGCAGCCGAUCCCAUUACAGACAAAGGCUGGCUAAAUAACAGAGCUGAACAACGUAUUAAUUGUCAAUAUUUUUAUAUGUACCGGGUAUUGAAAGCAUUUUCUAUUCUUACUAAUAUUAAACUUUCUGUUUUGGAAUAGCCGUAGAGUCUGAUUGGUCUGAAAGCAGAAAGCUGACGCCGAAAUUUAGUAUCCCGGUGUGUGAUUUAUUGGAGGAGGUGCUCAAAUAUGGAAACUGGGGCUUUGAUCUUUUCAUGAGAAAUAGUUUUCCCAUCUGCGAUCCAGGGGCAUUUCUAUCAGCUACUUUAUAACUAUGUAAUAGCUGUAAAAUAUGAAAUGAGUCUGAAUAACUAUUAAGGAGGUGGGAUCUUCCUCUAAUCAAUUAAGUUUUGAAAGCCCUCAUCCUCCAGCAGCUAUUUUAGCACUAGUGCACAAAUGGGGAUGUUCAUGCAAAAAAAAAAAAUGACACAGUUUUUUUUCCAGGAGCCUUGAUGUCGUAAUGGAUCUUCCUUUUCAAUUAAUUUUAAAAACAUGUAUUUAUGUGUAUGUGCUCAGCAUCACCAGGACUGAGGAUAUUCCAUCAUUUUUUUUUUCCUCUCCUGAACUACGUUUAACAAUGCCAAAGCAAAUCUGCUCUUAGGGCAAAUCUCCUGACACAAGUGGAAUCAAAGCCUUUGAUCCCUGAACAUUCUGCCCCGUCAGAAUGGCUUCCCCCUGCUUGCUUAGUCCCAAAGUGGGAGCUGUGAUGGGAUUCAGCUGCCAUCCCCACAUUCAUCUCAAGGGUAAACAUGAAAGGUCAAGCAGUUGCCUUCCCUUCAUCCACCGUUGCUGUCACUGUAUCACAGAGCACCAGAGCAGGGGCAAGGAAGUAUUCUUGCCAGCACUUUAUGUUAACAGUUAGCUGUGUCUUUUCUCCAGACCCUACCAAUCCCUGCACCCAGCACUGGGUUUGGCCAGUGAGUAAUGGAAAAGCAAGGGAACGCCGAGGAAUCAAAGACAGUGUGCUGAAGAGAUGAGAAAGGACAAUACGAGUCAUGGUGAACGUUGACAUUCCUUGGUGGGGCUUUGCAUGGUGCUAGCGGUGAUGGAUGGAUGGAUGGCAGGGGUGGAUUGAUGCAAGGAUGGAUGGAUGGAUGGAUGGAUGGAUGAAUGGAUGGAUGGAUGGAUGGACGGACGAAUGGAUGGAUGGAUGGAUGGAUGGAUGAAUGGAUGGAUGGAUGGAUGGAUGGAGGGUGAAAGGGAGAGAAGGUUAGAUGAAUGGAGGGAUGGAUGUCAGGGAUUUCUGUCACAGAGCAGCUCAAAAGAGAAAUACUCAGGUGAAACACCAGAAACUACCAGGAAACACUCCCCUUGGCACCUUGGAUUUCUACCCUCUCAGAGCUUCAGGACUUCUUCCCCAGUCCCACACUGUCCCUCUGUUCAGGCCAUCAUGUCAGCAGCAGCUCCUCAAAGCUAAAUAUGCAUGUCAAAAUGAUCAGAGAUGCUCUUUGAAGAGUGGGCAGGAUUUUUCAUUGCAGAUUCCCAGCUGCCUUUUCCUGCUAACCUUGCAUUCCUGAGAAUGCAAAGUGAGACAGGAACGUAUGUACAGAGAACGUGUUACCCAUAACAUCAGCUACUCCCACAGCCAGGAAAAUAUUUCCUGUGAGUUUCCUUCCUUGCAAAAGCCAAAAAUCAGACCAGUUUUUCCCCUCGAAUUUUCCAAGCACUUUCUGGAUUGUUCCUGAGCGUGUAGAGAGCUCGCAUUUCAUCCCACACCUCACAGAGUCUGGUGUGGAAAUAGAUUGUGAUAACGCUGCCAUCAUCAUCUCCACUGUGCAGUCACCACUGAUUUACUCUUAUUUGUGGUAUUGCAGUUCUCACUGACCUCAACUCAGACAGGAGCUGCCGGCAGUAACAGACAUAUGGAGUAAUAAUUAAUGGCAGGUAAUUAUGGCAGAUAAACAACAAAUUAGAAGUCCCUGGCAGAGAAUUCUCCUCUCUUUUGGGGGGAAUUAACCAGUCUCUUUUUUUAAG